AGUCGUGUUCCUAGAUUAUCAGAUACCCAUUUAUUACUCAGCUAGGGGAGUUCGACAUAUUUUUCGCUAUAUGCCACAUAUAUGGCAUUAAAAGGCAAAUCCAAUAAAAGAAAUUCCAAACCAAACCAGGUUUGUGGGUAUUACAGUGGUAACCUUCCAAGUCAGAUUAUUUUAACGAGCAGAUUAUCACUGAUUAUUUUAACAAGCUGUGACCCACUGUAGAUAUGUAAAUAUAAUUAAAAUUCAAGGAGGCUAUGAAAAUCUUUCUCGACCUGUCAGACCCAUUUAAAUGUGUAAGUUCCGAAAAUAUAUCAUUCUCAUAUCGACCCCCGUCCUGCUCGCAUCAAAAUUUGUGGUUUUGUCCCAUAUAGGUGUUUUUUGGCUACUGAAGAUCGUUGACUUCUCGAAUUAAUCAUGUGCUGUGGACCUUGUGGAUCGUGCUGUGGACCUUGCGGAUAUUACUGCUCUCCCUGUGGACCCUGCUGUGGACCUUGUGGACCACGUUGUGGUCCGUGUGGAUCCUGCUGUGGACCCUGUGGA